UACGUAGGGUGCAAGCGUUGUCCGGAAUCAUUGGGCGUAAAGAGCGUGUAGGCGGCCCGGUAAGUCCGCUGUGAAAGUCCAGGGCUCAACCCUGGAAUGCCGGUGGAAACUGUCGGGCUAGAGUCCGGAAGAGGCGAGUGGAAUUCCUGGUGUAGCGGUGAAAUGCGCAGAUAUCAGGAGGAACACCAAUGGCGAAGGCAGCUCGCUGGGACGGUACUGACGCUGAGACGCGAAAGCGUGGGGAGCGAACAGG
rnacentral:rRNA from 1 species